GAAGGGUGUGCCAGGGAACGAGGGGGCGGGUGUGGAAAGAUGAGGCCUGGGCACUGACGACAGCCUUCCCUGAUUCCAGGAGCUUGCCAAGACCCAGCCCUGGAUCCCAGAGGGGUCACAGCCAAGGUCCCCCCUCUGGAAGCCACUACCUUUCAUUUUCUUGCUCCCCAGUCUCUGUGCCCAGAAGUGCUGUCUGCCAGGCUCUGGCCAACUUGUAGCCUCUCCAUGCCGAAAAUGACCCCCUAAAAAGCCGAAGGAGAAGGACCCAGCACACAGCCGCGAACCACAUAUACACCAAGAGAGCCUAAAGUAAAAAAGAUAAACUUUAAAUCAAGCAGAAACUUUUUCCAGCAACUUCCACUCUUGUGAUACUGAACUGAACUGAAGUGACAGAUUUUAAGAGUUGCCUGAAUCUUCUGGAGUUAACCUGGUUAUUGACUUUAAAAACUCUAAUUGUGAAAGAAGGGGUCUCUUCUCUCUUUGGAAUGGCGCUCAGAGGACCCAACAAACAGCAAUAGAAUAGAACAUUACGGAUUGCUGGGUGAGAGUAUAUUUUAACCUGCUUCAACCUAAAACUGCAAAAUAAACUGGUCGAAUUUAAUUUUUAAAGUUUCAUAAUUUCUGACCACUGAUCUACAUUUCUGAAAGGUUACAUGUAAAAUAAACAUGAUGUGUGUGUGUGAAACUGAAUCAUUUUCUAACUCAUUGACUGUAAAAAAAAAAAAGAGAAGAGAUCAUUUGAACUCUGCCUUUGCAAUUUAUCAUCUUCGUGAUCUUAGACAAUCUCUUAAUUUCUCUAAGCUUCAACUUUCUCCUCUAAAAUCGAGUUGAACUCAAAGGGCUGACCUAAAGAUUACAUAAAAUGAGAAAAAGUAAGGCACCGGGGCUGAUACAUAGACAUUAUUCAAUAAAGCUUUAUGAAAUCUG